rnacentral:rRNA from 1 species
CCCUACGGGGGGCAGCAGUGAGGAAUAUUGGUCAAUGGGCGGAAGCCUGAACCAGCCAAGCCGCGUGAGGGAAUAAGGCCCUACGGGUCGUAAACCUCUUUUGCCGGGGAGCAAGGGCCGGGACGCGUCCCGGCCCGGAGAGUACCCGGAGAAAAAGCAUCGGCUAACUCCGUGCCAGCAGCCGCGGUAAUACGGAGGAUGCGAGCGUUACCCUGAUUUAUUGGGUUUAAAGGGUGCGUAGGCGGGCUUUUAAGUCAGCGGUAAAAAUUCGGGGCUCAACCCCGUCCGGCCGUUGAAACUGGGGG